AAGGCGUGAUGAUGCUGAGAAAGUUUCGCUAAAGAGCUGAUGUCGUGUGAUGUAACCUUUCUCUUGGCUGUCUGACCAA